rnacentral:tRNA from 1 species
GGGGAUUUAGCUCAGCGGCAUAAGCGCCUGCCUUGCAAGCAGGCAGUCCUGAGUUCGAUCCCUGGUACCCA